rnacentral:rRNA from 1 species
CAAUGGGCGAAAGCCUGAUGCAGCGACGCCGCGUGAGGGAUGACGGCCUUCGGGUUGUAAACCUCUUUCAGCAGGGACGAAGCGCAAGUGACGGUACCUGCAGAAGAAGCACCGGCUAACUACGUGCCAGCAGCCGCGGUAAUACGUAGGGUGCAAGCGUUGUCCGGAAUUACUGGGCGUAAAGAGUUCGUAGGCGGUUUGUCGCGUCGUUUGUGAAAACCAGCAGCUCAACUGCUGGCUUGCAGGCGAUACGGGCAGACUUGAGUACUGCAGGGGAGACUGGAAUUCCUGGUGUAGCGGUGAAAUGCGCAGAUAUCAGGAGGAACACCGGUGGCGAAGGCGGGUCUCUGGGCAGUAACUGACGCUGAGGAACGAAAGCGUGGGUAGCGAACAGGAUUAGAUACCCUGGUAGUCCACGCCGUAAACGGUGGGCGCUAGGUGUGGGUUCCUUCCACGGAAUCCGUGCCGUAGCUAACGCAUUAAGCGCCCCGCCUGGGGAGUACGGCCGCAAGGCUAAAACUCAAAGGAAUUGACGG